CUAGCCAAACGAAGCCUUAUCCAAACCCUAAACCAUCUCCCAAACCCAAAACAUAACAUCACAUCAUCACCUAUAACGUACUACCAUCGUUAACCUUCAUAAUUCCAAAAUUUCAGCCCCCAUCGGAACCCUAGAUUGCAGCCCACCUUUUCUGUUUCAAUACAGACCAACAAAAAGAGAAGUAGAAGAAGAGAGAGGAAACGAAAAACUAAAAGAGAAGUAAAAAACUCGCUGCCGUUGCACCUCGCCAUCUUUACUACUCCUUCCCACCG
rnacentral:lncRNA from 1 species